rnacentral:rRNA from 1 species
UGCCAGCCGCCGCGGUAAUACGAAGGGUGCUAGCGUUGUUCGGAAUUACUGGGCGUAAAGAGCAUGUAGGCGGAUGAAUUAGUCAGAGGUGAUAGCCCCGAGCUCAACUUGGGAACUGCCUUUGAUACUGUUUAUCUAGAGUCCGAGAGAGGUUAGUGGAAUUCCCAGUGUAGAGGUGAAAUUCGUAGAUAUUGGGAAGAACACCAGUGGCGAAGGCGGCUUGCUGGACUAAUACUGACGCUGAGGAGCGAAAGCGUGGGGAGCAAACGGGAUUAGAUA